rnacentral:lncRNA from 1 species
ACGAUUCCCAUGAAAAAACAUUCUGCCGCUAUAAUCUCCGCCUCUCUCCUCCUCCUUGUUUACGGGGGUGAUUUCCCAUCUCUAUCGUCAUCUGCCGCUCCGCAUAGCUUCGAGCUCCAAGCCUGCGACGCCACGAUCACUUGGGAUCGAGAGUCGUUCGAGGAAGUCGACGAGAAGCUCCCGGUUGAACACAAUUCCCUCCCCACCGCUCGCGUUAACAGAGCAGAAGCAGAGUCUGCAAGAACCCAACAAAACCCUCGCAACCACAAUCACAAGAGCAGCCAUGGCUGAUUUCUCCUACCUUUCCGACACCGACGACUCCGCGGUGAGGUGACUCCGCGGUGGAAGACCUCAUUUCCCAGACCAAGGACCUCUUCAUCCUCGAGCCGAAUCGCGCCAUCAACUGCUCAUCGGAGGACGCAAUUUUCCCGCUGCCAAAGCGGAAUCCAGACGAGAAAUCGCGUUGGAAGUCCACCACGAAGUACGAUCCAGACUUCACCGAUGAAUUAUUCCGAUUUGUGGAGGAGGACGAGGUACUGUCGGAUUUGGGGGCGGUCUCCGCUAAAGAGCAGAAGAAAAGUUGCGGAAGAAGGCAAUGAAGGAGCAGAGAAGAUCGCGAGGAUGGCGAAUCAAAUGCAUGGGUCGGCUGUAAUUUAUUUUUACUCUAAUCUUUUCAUUUUUUCGCGCUUCCGCGUUAGUCGUAACAUGAUUUGUUGCUUUCUUGGCAGAUGUGCCCUUAAAUAUCAGUAUACUUCAUUACUGAAUAGUAGAGAUUACAAUCUCGGCCAUAUGUUUUGGUUUCAAUAUAAGGAGCAACUUUUUCACAUAAACAUGAUUCGAAAACAAAGAUCAAACCAUAGAUGCCGGCAAACUGCUUGGGUACGACCUAACUAGGUCGAUUUCGAAAUUCUCGUCGAAAUCUUUAAAUGACAUUACUUCUAUGAUUUGAAAGAGGAAAUGAGCGUGAACUGGCAUUAAGAGGAAAUGAGUAGUUUGGCAAAACCACUGCUAAAUCAAAUGAUCUGGUUGAAAUUCAGGCUGAGCUGUGUGGAACUUUAAUGCCUUUCUCAAGUCUCAACUAGAUAGAGUGGUCUUCUUAGACUCUAAACCUGGUGAUUUCACUCGUGCUAAUGCUUAAAGCUUAAUCAGGGAGAAAAAGGCCAAGGUAACUCGGCAUUGGCUAAUGUGGUUUAAUCCAAAUGUGCCGACAUUUUGCUAAGUAUCUUGGCUUGCUAUCCUUACCAAGUUGCAGCAGACUAGUGAUAGAUUGUGAAAAUGGCAGAACAUGAAUGGUUCUGUGUCCUCCGUGGACCAAUGGUAUAAGAGGUUUUGUUGGGGAUUCGGAUGCUGAGUUUAUGUGGAUGUUGCAGAUAUCAAAGGGGAGAUCUCUGGUAAGUUUUAUUAAAGGUGGCAAGGAGUGGUGUCAUUUAUUUCUCAUGGAAGGAAAGAAAUACUAUAGUUCACAAUGGGAGAGUUGCAAGUGCUGAAAAGGUUUCCGAGAGUAUGUUGUUUGUGGUAAGAUUGCAGUGCAAUUUUUAUUUUUAUUUUUUUGUUAAAGGUACUUUUUUCACUCAGACAUAAGGAAACAUCAUAUAGCCUAGAAAGAAAUCACAUUACACCGCUUUUCAUGUAAUUGCAUCAUAAAAUGCCGUAUCAAAGAGACAAUCACAAACGAUAUGCUUUGUUUAUACUCAAAUGGGCAAUAUGGAUAUAAAGAUUGAGCCCAAAGCAAAGUAGAUCCAUCAUUGAAUUGCCUAUGGAUGAUUGAUGGGCUACAAAAGAUUAGGAAAAUUGUCCCAAAAGUCAUAAACCUUUUGCCUUUUGCCAAUUUAUUUUUAAAAUUUUCAAUGUUAUCAACUGAGUCUUAAACAUUUUCGCGUUCUAUCAAUUAAAGUACAUUCAGCCAAUUUUCGAUGAAUAUCGCUAACGUAAACACCAACCAUCCUACAUGACAUGAUUGACGCUAACAUGGACUUUUUUUAAUAAUAUUAAAUAUUUUUCGUCUUUUUUUCCUUUUUUUCUCUUUUUUUUUUUCCUUUUCUCUUCUCUUUUUUUCUUUUCUUUUCUUCUUUCUUUUUCCCUUUUUUCCUCUGCUAGCCACUACCAAGCCUCUUUGAUGACUCGUGGAGGUCACCGACCUCAGGCAAGGGCUACCCUCGUCGACCCUUGGCGAGGGUCACCUUGCCUAGGUAGGUGAGGGCUUGAGGCGCACCAAAGGCCAAUGACCUCCACCGGCCAUCAACGACACCUGGCGAAGGGAAAAAAGGGGAAAAAAAAAAAACAAAGAAAAGAAUGAAAAGUGAAAAAUAGAAAAAAUUAAAAAAAUAUAAUCUAAAAUAGUUAACGUCAAUGUUGGUCAUGCCACAUAGAAAUGGCUGGAACGCCAGCAUCCACUUCAGUAAUUUGCAGCCAAAAUUGACCAAAUCAACUCAAUGAGCAAAAUGUGAAAAAUGUUUAUAACUCAAUUGGCAAAAUUAAAAAAUUUAUAACUAAAUUAGUAAAAGCGUAAUAGGUUUAUAAUUUUUUUUUUUAACAAUUUUUCACCCAUAGAUUUCAUGCUUUCUUACUUUAGCAAAUGAGGACCUUGUUUGCGGCACCGUAAUGCGUCAAGAUGUCAUUAAGGUUAAAAUAGAGGAUCGUGGAAAGGUUGAGUGUGUGUGGGUCCAUGUUCCCAAGUUUGUUCCCCCUAGCCCGGCCUGGGACUGGUGCUUGAGGCGGUCCCGAGCGCUCAAACUUGGGACUUUGAUUGCACUCAAGACUUAUUCUCAAAUGUCUAUUUCGUAAUUUUCUUGUAACAAAUAUCAGUAAAUGAAUUUUCUAUUAUUUGGCAAAUACAGACCAACAUGCCUUGAAAAUAAGUUCCUUUCGAAAAAUUUCUAGUAAAGUUCAUUUUUCGAGAAAUAAAUGGAGCUUGAGGUUUGAACAAACUGACUUGAUUGAAUAUGGGAUUGAAUGUAAUAAAUUUGUUGUUCCUUGUGAACUGAUGAGCAUUGUUUGCACGAAAGGAUCUUGAUGUUGCCAACAACACAAUUUAGUUUCCUUAGUUUUCUAUUUAUUUCAAAGAUAGAAACAAAACAAACAAGCAAUUGAAAGUGGAUGCAUUUUUCUAUAAUUGAUUGAGUACAGCCAGAGAAAGUGCUAAUGCUGCAAACAGAAGUCCGAGACUGAUCCCUCACCCCGGCAAUCUAAAAGGGCUAUAGGAGCAACCAAAGUCUUCACUCCUUCCCUCAAUUCAUCCCAUUGCAUAGACUUGUAUGCUAUUGUCACAACUUAUGAAAUGCAUACUCUUUGUCUAGAAUGGCAGGGAAAACUUAGUGCCGUUUUUUAUUACUUACAUUUCAAACAUCCAUUUGGGUCAAAGGUAAAGUGAGCCUAACUCUGCUUUCCAAUUGUGAGAUUAAUGUAAUGCGUUUCUACCGUACUCUCACAUCCAGAUCUUAGCUUCUUCAAACAAUGUCUCUUCGUUACCGCCUCUCAGUAAUGAAACUCAUUUAGAAAGGUAUCUCUCGCUUUUCUAAAUUUAUUUUCUAGAUCUGGAUGGUGCCAACGAUAUUAUAUUUUUUGUCUUUGGUUUCUAGCCAUUUUGGCAUGAACAAAACGAGCACUAGGAAAAUAUUAGGCGACCAUGUUAGGCUAUGGCACCAUCCAAACGCUUGUGAUUGUUUGGUACCAACAAUUUCCAUAAGACAAGGGCCAAUUCCACCUCUAUUGUCCCUCCCAAUAAGUGAAGACUGUUCAAAGUUUGAAUAGUCUUAAUCUCUCCAAAACAUUACAUCAUGGAAAUUACAUUCCUCAUCAGUGGCCAAAGGGAAAUGUCUGUCACGCCCCGAUCCUCGAGCAUGCACCCAUCCCUUAUUUGGUCGAUUAACAGCAACGUCUUAGGACGCAUCGUCGACCCAUUCAUUUCAAUACGCAUGCGAAAGCAUAUAAAUAAUCCCUAGACAAUAAAACAAUGAAAUAGGAAAGUAGGACCAAUUUUUCACAAAAUACCUUUUUAUAAACACACAAGUUUAUACACAAAGGUCUUCAAAAGAAAUCGGCUCUUUACAAAAGAGAAUUUUCCUACAACUAACUAGUCGGACAUAGUCACCGAUUCUUCGAGCUUCACCUCCUUACUCCAAGCUCCUGGUCCUUUACCAACACCAUCUACAGACCUAAAAAUGGUUAUAUAAUAAUCAGUGAGAUAAUGUCUCAGCGAGUUCUACUCCCUAAGACUCGAUUAUGAAGCUAAUACGCCAUAAAGGCUACCUAAGCACAAUACGAGUCAGAGAACUUACCUUAGCCUCAGUCUUCUUCUUGCAAGUCAGUACAAUUCAAAUAAACAUCCAAUCAAUCACUACAGAUCAAAUCAUCGAUCAAUCGACUGAGUGAAUUACAUAUAAUCACAAUCUUCCCAUGGUCGGUACAUUCAAUACUAUCUAUAAAGUACAACCAUAGUCUAGGACUAUUCACCUAAAGCUGAAAAUAGAUAGUAUAGCUUGCUUGAAACUAAUAAUAUAGUAUAUGGUAUAUAUGCUUGCCCAAAGCUGAUAAAUUAGGGGCCUCAGGCCAAUUUAGUAUACUAUAUAUGCUCGCCCAAAGCUGAUAAUUAUUGCUCGCCAAAGCUGAUAUAAUAUGCUCACCCAAAGCUGAUAAUAUGGUAUACUAUAUAUAUAUUCACCCAAAGCUGAUAUAUUAGGGCCCCCUGGCCAAAAUAGUAUACCAUUUCAAUCAUAUGACCAACUCAUCAUUUUUAUCAUACUCAAUAAAAAUAGCCGUGUAUGGAUAUAUGGUCAGCCUUAGCCAAACUACCAUAAUUUCAAAAUUAAACUUUCCACUAGCUUUAGUAGUCUAGAAAUAUAAUUUUGGCGCUGUAGACCCACACCCGGUAAAAUCCGAAUUAAUUAUUAGAAUUAAUUAAUUUAAAGAUAAUUUCCUAAAUUCACAAUUAAAUCGAAAUCAGCACAAUAUAAAGCUCAAUUAAAUAAAUAGAUCACACCGCUGCAAUGAGCGUAAUUUUCCAAUUACCGGCCAUCACGUCUGAUUGGCUUGGCUCCGUGAGAUCCGCUUCAGUGGAUUAAUGGACAGCAACGGAACUCGGAGGAAAAAUGGGCGACAAAUGCGAGAGAGAGAGAGAGAGAGAGAACCGAGAGAGACUGAGGGCGGCAGGUGUGUCGGCAACGUGGGGAAGAAGCGAAGCUUGACUCAAAAGUCAAGGCAAAUGGGAAGAAAAAUGGGGCACGACAGAGAGGAAAAAGGGGACGUCGGCGUGGGGAAAAGGUGAUCGAGAGAGAGAGACAAGAAAAAGGGAAAGGAAGAGGGAUGUGCGCGGCCAAGGGGGGAAAAGGAGAUAGGAAAAAAAUAAGGAAAACUAAAAGAAUUUUCUAUAAUCCAAAAAUCUUUGUCUCACUUGCUUUUAUUUAGUCUAAUUUGAUCCCCAAAAAUUCCCAUGCUAAAAUACUUGAUUCUCAUUUGCUUUCUUGCACAAAAUUUCCCUCCAACAACAAAUCUUAGGCAAUAAAAAUGGUCAUUUUCUUCAAUUUCGAAUUCUAAUUCAUUUUUCUCGGAAUCCGAUUUUCUAAACAAAUUUAUCCGGUUGAGGUCUGAUUUGAAUGCAUAAAAAGUCCAAACAACUUCAAUUCACACCAGAUGCCAAAAAUCCAUUCAAAUGGGCAAAUCCGAAUUUCCAUUCGUUUUCCGAAUUGUCCGAAUCGAUUUUACGUAAAAAUCCCGAACUCAUCGAAAAUUCCUCGAAAGAUGAGUCAAUGUUUCUAAAAUGACCUAUGACAUGACAAGACUUUCAAUUUCUAAAAUCAUAUUCAAAUUCGCAGUUAAUUUCAAUCAGACGUGAUUUUAGCGUAACCUAACCUACCGAGUAGCUUUCAAAACAUUUGAGUGCAAAUGACUCAUGGUCGAUUUUCUUCGAGCCACUAUGAACCUCUUCGACACAUUGACAGCUCUUAGUUGUCGUGAAAAUCUCAAGGUUUCAAAUACGGACACAGGGUAUCAAAACAAUAGAAAAAUCAAUUUAGUGUCGAUCGAUGAUAAUUUUGGAAUUUAGUGGAAUCACCCACAUUUAACCACAUAUCUCAAUCAAACUGACCUAUCUCUGAUUUUUAGUCGAUCUUACCGUGUCGUAAUGAUAUCGGCAGAUGAACACGGUCGAAUAACUGAUUUCUGGUCGAAUCUUCAAGUCUUAUUGCAUUAAAAUCUCUUAAUAACUUCCACGGACAGUUUAGUUGUCUCAAGAGUGAUUAGCUCUGAGAAUAGUACUAUAGGCGUGUCAAUGAAAUGCCCGAUUUAUUUAAUUGAAAACAUGAUUGAAAUUCCAGGAUGUCACAAUGUCCUCAAAUCAUGCAUUCAAAGAGAAAACAGUGCUAAUAUCAUAAACAAACUGGUCCAACCCAAAGCAGUUAUUGGGCAAACAAGAGGGGCCGAAUAAGCAUUCAAAGUCUUCAAUUCGACCCCCAAUUUAUAACAUUUUAUUGACUUAUUUGCUGCUAUCACAACUUACGAAUGGAUACAUUUGCUUAGAAUGGAGGAAAUAACAUCAAACCUUCUUAUCAACCACACAAGCCUUUCAUCUUAUUUUUCCACGGGGGGACCAUUUUUGUGAAGGGGACCAUCACAUGUUGCUAUGCAACACCCUUUGAUUUGCAAAUUUUUGAACUAACUGUUAGUUGACCCAAAGUCUUCCAUGCAAAUACAAAUCUAUUUGUCAAUUUUGGUUGAAUAAUCUCAAUCUCUUCAAAGCAUUACAUCAUGGAAAUUACAUUUCUCAUCAGUGACCAAAGGGAAAUGUUUUCAGAUCAUGUAUUCAAAGGGAAAACGGUGCUAAUAUCACAAAUAAAUAGGUCCAACCCAGAGCAGUUAUUGGCCAAACGAGAUGGGCCAGAUGAGCAUUCAAAGUCUUCGAUCUUGACCCCCAAUUCAUACUAUUUCAUUGACUUGUUUGCUGCUGUCACAACUUCCGAAUUGAUAUAUUUGCUUGGAAUAGAGAGAAUAACACCAAACCUUCUUAUCAACUACACAGGCCCUCCAUCUUAUCUUCCACAGAGGGACUUUUUUUGAAGGGGACCAUCACAUAUUGCUAUACAACACGCUUUGGUUUGCAAAUUUUUUGGACUAACUGUUAGUUGACCCAAAGUCCUCCAUGCAAAUACAAAUUUAUUUGUCAAUUUUGGCAUGCUUGCUUGCCCCUAUGCAGCAAGUGCCUUACUUCCAUAGUAGCAUUGCUCUGAACACAGUUAGAAAAAUAGAUAUGAGAACAAAAUAGGAUUUAACCUACCCACUAUCUUUGAUCAUACAUCUAACUAGAAUUUCUAUACACAUAAAGAGUUAUGUUUUAAAGUUUAUAAGGUAUUUUAUAAUUGUAUACAUGGAUAGAGAUUAAUUAACAAAUAUCCAUGAGAAUAAGAGAUUUGCUAGGAUUUGAUUACAAAAAUACAUGAAUCUAUUACUUCUUGCAAAGCAAUUAGAGAUGUAUUACCAAAAUAAGCAUAAAAAUUGGAGAGUUGCCAGGAUAAGAGAUUUUAUAAAGUGAACAUAAAAAUAAGUGCUACAAAAAACUCACACUUGAAAGGAGAAAAGUGCCAAAAAAGUCAUAAACCUUUUGCCUUUGUGCCGAUUUAGUCCUAAACCUGUUUUUGGUGCCGAUUCAGUCUUAAACCUUUUUAAGUCGUGCCAAUUCAGUCCUUUUGGACGAAUUUUGCUAACUGGACGCCGGUCGGCUGACGUGACCUAAUCGGCGUUGACGUGGAUAACUUUUAAUAAUAUUUUAAUUUUUUUAUAUUUUUUUAUUUUUUUUAUUUUUGUCUUUUUCCUCCAGCAGGUCGCCGAGGUCCGGCAACUGGCCAGAGGCCACCGUCGGCGAGGCCGAGGCCGAGGCCGACCUCGCCGGAUCUAGUGAGGUCGAGCCUCGUCGGCCCUUGCCGGCCAUGGGCGAGGCUCGCCCAUGUCCUGAUCUGGCGAGGUCGAGCGAGGCUUGCCCAUGGCCGGCGCAUGAACCCAUAGGGCUUUACNNNNNNNNNNNNNNNNNNNNNNNNNNNNNNNNNNNNNNNNNNNNNNNNNNNNNNNNNNNNNNNNNNNNNNNNNNNNNNNNNNNNNNNNNNNNNNNNNNNNUUCUUUUGAAAAAGUUUUUGUUUGGCAGCGAGGACUCUAGGUACGUCCAUAACAUUUAAGGUGUUAAAUGUUUUUGCAGGAUGGGAGGUAUAAGGGGAAGUGUUUGUUAACCUUUGUUUUGCAGGGAGGUGUAAGAAUGUAUGGUUUAUUUUCAUGAACGAAGUGUUGCUUGAUAUAAACUGCCGUGCAUGCCUUGCAUCUAGCACUACACUAUUGCACACACAACCUACCGCCGGACCUGGGCCGCAUUAAGAUCAUCUAGGAUGGUAUUGAAAUGGAUACCACUCUGACCGCAUGCUCGCGGUACGAGUCGCCCAUCUCAAUCCCGAAGUUUCUUUCAUGGUGUCAAGAGUACCCAUCUCGGUCCGCAUGCUCGCGACCCGGGUCGGCUCUUUGACUAAGCCGGAGUCAUGAGGACCCGACAUAGUCCACAAGCUCGUGGCUAGUCUGAUCAUCCUUGUGGCUCCACUUUGAUAAGCCUUAUAGAGUAGAAAUCGAACCACUUACCAUGCGCAUGUCUAUGUGAUUGCCGUCGAUUUGUUUUGGUGAAGUAAGUCUUCUACCCUUAUACUAUGUAAUUUACUUACUUUGUCGUACUUUUGGUCCGUCCAUGACAAUUUAGGUUAGUCGUUUGAUUUAACUCAUUUGUCAAUUGGAAAUGAAAUAAGGAAAUUGACAUGUAAUAAAUCAUUUUAAAAAAAAACUUUGGAGAAUUUGUUUUCAAUUCAUGUUUAGGAAAUUUGGUCUUGUUAGAGUGUCUAUCUUUAUUUUCCUAGUCCAUUUUUAGGAAAUACCCUUAUUGUACGAACUUUUCAUGAAUAAAUGAAAAAAAAUGGAAAAAUCGAUUAGAUCAUUGUCAUGGAUCAACCUUCUAUUUACCCUCAUGCUUACAUAUUCCCGUUCAUUUGAAUUAGGUGAUUAUGGAACGAUCCCGCUCACCCAUCUGUUCACGAUCGAGAGCUACAAUGAUGAAUCAAAAAGAGCUAAUCUCAUCAAGCAAAAGUGUUGCGAUUUAUCUUCAAUGAGAAAUUGUGACUCUAAGGAGAGAGCCAAGAAGACUUUUUGAACAGUAUCAUUUUCCUGAGGUAGCCAAAUUUGAUGCCAUCAUGAAGAGACUAGUGACAUAUAUAGAGAGAAAAAUAUCUGAUCUGAAGGGUUCGCCUCACAAGAUCAAUGAGGGUGAAGAAUUCAAGUACACAUGAUUCAUGGUCCUAAGUUGUUCCAUUUCCUCAUUUAAUUAGGGGCAUGCACUUUCCCCUGCGUGGGAAUUCUUGUCACUUUUUAGGGAUUAAUUUCAAUUUCCUCUGUGCUUGAGCAUCACAUUCCAAUAAAUGUAAUUUGAUUGAUGAAUAUCAAUAGAAUUACAAGUUUUGUUUUGAGGACAUGAUGGGGUACACCAAACUAGCCCGGUGACGAUAUCCAACAAUGAAAAGAAAAUAUCAUCCAUUGAGAAAAUUUGAGGACUGGGCUUCUUCAUGCUUCCUCAUCCAAAAUAUUCCUUAAAAUAAUCGUUUUUGAAACAAUUUCCAAAAGCAUGCAUUAGGUUACCCUUGUUUAAUUUUCUGACUCAUUUACUUCAUGUUUCAGAGCAUUACUUUCUUGACCCGAUAAGAAAGCAUUUGAAAAAGGCACAUUAGGUUGCAGUCGGUUCAACUCUUACUCAACGAGUUUCUAAAGAGUUAAUGUCAGUCACAUCUCGAUACUACUUUAAAUAUCCAUCUUGAAGGGCCAAACAAAGUGUGCUCCAUUUCCGUGCUUGACAGAAUUUUCAUUCUUGCCCAUUAAAUGAGGGGCAAGUUAAAAGAGGAUCAUCCAUCUUUGGUGAAAGAGGUACAUCUCGUCUUUAAACAUAAUUAAUUUUGGGAGAUGAUGCUUUGUUCUUUUCCUUGCAGAUGACGAAUUUGGGGCACUACAGAUUCUAGUAGUGACAUGACUGAGAUAAAAUCUCGAUCCGAGUCAAAAUAGUUGUGCAAUUUGAAUUUACUUUGAUGUUGCAUAGUAUCCUAUUCAUGCACGUUCUCUUGUACAGGGGCAAAAACGAGAACGGAGUAUUCAUCAAAUCAAAAAGCGGAUUUUCAAUCCAAGGACAUCCAUUGUUGAGACAAUCCCUUUGUGGAGCAAUCCCCUGAAUGAGUGCUUAAAACCAUGUUUUGAGUGUAAUAAAUUGUUUGUUUUGAAGUCACAAACACUUUUCAUGCUUAAAGUUGCCGGACUCUUUUGAAAAGAAAAUUUUCAUAUUGAUUUAGCUCACCAAUUUCAUAUGGAGAUUUGUCAAGAUAGACAAUUUAAUGGAGUGACAUCAAUACUUAAGAAUGCUGAAUGAGACGUGUCAAUAUGAUGAAAGGCAAGCUUUAUCCUAUACACAAUCCUCUACUUAUACACUUGUAAGAUGAGUGUAGGAAGUUUCAUAUUUACAAGGUAAAGAGUUCUCUCGCAAAAGGUACGAUGACCGAAAUGAUGAGGGGCAAUUCAUUUCUCUAUCCCAAACACUACAGGUGAUUCAUUGCUUACCCCUUUUGAGCCCCAUACACUUGUGGAGAUUCUUUUCAAAUUACCCCUGUCAAGAGCCACCCCACAUAGGGGCAAAUUGGAGGUAAGAUGGUACCAUAAGGUGAAAAAAUGGAUUGAAAUUUUCUUGCUCUCACUUGUAUCAAUCUUCUUGUCAUGCUAUUACAUUGAAUUCAUGUGGUAAUUUAAGUGUCUUAGAAUGACAAAGAGCAGUUCUUUCUCUACCGUACACACUUUUAUCCAUUGCAUAGCCCAUUUGAGCCUAUGAAUUCAUUUCAAAUUAAACCCAGUUGGUGAUCAUCCUCCACACUGGGGCAAGGCAAAAGGCAGAUGAAGACCUUUGAAAGUUCGAAUGUCAUUCAAAGUGUGAUUGCUUGACACAUGCAUUAUGCGCAAGAAUUGAAUUCAAAAUAGAACUAAGGGGCAUGAAAAAAGCAGUGUGCCUAGUAAAAGCAAGGCCAAUGCCCAUGAAAAAAAAAGUGAAAAAAAAUGAAUAAUAACUAUGGGGCAUGAAAAGCAGUGUGCCUGGUAAAAGCAAGGCCAAUGCCCAUAGAUGAAAAAAGAGAGUCAAGAUAAGGUGACUCUCAAUUGCAAGAAUUGAAUCCCAUUGGGGUAAUACUCAAAGAACUCAAAUGCUGAGUUUUUAUAAUCAAUGGGGCACUUCAUGAAGACAAUCCCUAAUGGUGAAAAAGAAAAUUGGUGGCAAUGCCAAGAUGAUCACCAACUCGCACCAUUCACACACAUUUUGAGCCUAAUGAUCAUUUCAUUUCUCAAUCCAUGAACCCAGCCUACGUUACAUCCCUUACAAGUCUCUUCAGAUUAUGGCACUUGAAUUAACAUAGGGGUUCACAUGUUUUAAGCAUCGCUCGAAGGAGUGCGAGCAAGACUAUUUCUUUCUCAUUUUGCAGGGUUCUUGACUUGUAAACCCGAAGAUGAUUGCGAAGCUGUUCUUUCAAUUGCCUUGACUCAAAGAGUCCCUUUGUUAAGCCAUUGACCAAACCUACAUUACGGUCCUUAUUAAAGACCUCUCAGAUUGGUAAGGUCGUACCACUUGCGAGAAUACUUGGACCCUUGUUGGUAUGAUGAUAGUAAGAUUGAGUAAUUUGAGUAAUUCUCAUAAAAUAGACAUUCUGAAUGAGAGGGAGUGAAAGUCCUUUCUAACUGAAAGUCUCUCAUUUAGCAUUUUUAAGAAAUCUAUGUCAUUAUCUUGAACGACAAUUAUCUUGUGUUGAAAUUUGGGUGAUGCAAAUAUGGUAAAGUCAUUAUGCAUGAACCCUUGAAUUUUGAAAUGUGCAUUCUAGAGUAGCUCAGAUUGUCUAUCUCUUUGAUGAAUGCAUAUCAGUUUUUGCUUUAAAUCAUGUCUGAUAGGUAAUUCAAGUUCCUUUCAAGAAUGUUUCAUGAUAUUAGGAGAUGAGAAAUCUCCACCAAGAGGUGAAAGACCUCCACAGGAUAUCUAAAUUCCAAAAGACAUUUUUCUCCAAGAAUAAGAGAUAUCACCAGGUAAGUAUAUCUCUACCAUACUCUAAAAUACUUGUCAUUGUGCAGGUAUUCUCUCUCAAGUGCAUCGACACUUGACAUGGUCAAGCUGUCUAGUUUUAUCGAUCUGGCGUGCUUUCGUAGCCCAGAGUCCUUUACAUCAACACUCAACGGAGUUGUCCCCCAAAGAUUUUUCCUCCAGAUUCAAUCUGAUUAAGGCGACCGAAGAAUGGUUCGGGUCCUGGUCGGAUGAUUUCUGCCGCAAGGUUGGGCGAUCGAAGAAUGGUUCGGGUCCUAGCCAAGCAAAACCUCAGUCUAGGCGACCGCAGAAUGAUACGGGUCCUGGAAAAGCAAUUUCCUCAUUCAGGCGACUGUAGAAUGGUACGGGUUCUGGAAAAAUAAUUUUCUUCGUUGAGGCGACCGUAGAAUGGUACGGGUCCUUGAUAACACUUAUUCCUUAUUCAGGCGACCGUAGAAAGGUACGGGUCCUGGAAAAUGAAUCCCCGUUUAGGCGACCGUAGAAUGGUACGGGUCCUAAACAAAACUUUUCUGUCGUACUGGGCGACCGUAGAAUGGUACGGGUCCUGGGAAAGCAGUUCCUUACAAAACAUUUCUGCCGUAUUGGGCGACGGUAGAAUGGUACGGGUCCUAGGAAAGCAGCAUCUUCACAAAGUCAUGUUACUAUUCUAGGCGACCGUAGAAUGGUACGGGUCCUAGACAAGUAACACCCACUACCUCGAAUUACUCUAUCCUCCUUGAAGGUAAGUUAUUCCAGGUAGGUUCAUUUAUCAUUUGCAUUAGCAUUUCCAUGCAUCAUAUAAAUUAAAAAAUGGAAUUCAUUUUCCUAAAAAAAUCAUUCAUUACAUGUGUAUAGUCAAAAUUUAGGUCUCAAUUUGUCUUUGAAUGCAACCUCUUCGAGCUCACCUUCAAAGAGGGGCAGCUGUUGAUACCUAAAUUUUGGCAACCCGUUUAGUCAUUUAUUGCAUUAAAAAAUUAAGGGUUAAUUUUAUCAUUGAAAAAAUAGUCAAUUGCAUAACAUAUAGUUUUAGGUGCAUUUAUGUUUUAAUUUGCAUUUACAUUGAGCCGGUGACAAAUGGGUUCAAAUUGAUGGUUAAGAACUUUAACUUGAUGAGUCAGGCUAAGUUCACGAAGAAAGCAAAUCGGUCCAAGCCCAUAUCCUCGGGGAGAUUUUAUGGAUUUAUCUUUAUAAGAUUUCAAUUGAAAAAGCAAAUAUUCCGUUUGGAAAAAAACAAAUAUUGCGUUUCGAAAAGAAAUCUACGUGGAGAUGAAUUUGGAAAAUUUUAAAACCCUAAUCCGUGCCCUAUAAAUAUGUAAAAAAUACCUAGGGUUGAAGGAGGCCACAAAAUUGAAACAUUCGGCCGCAUUGAGAGGGGUCCCAUUCCGUCGAGUAAAAAAAGAACACAAAAAGACAAAAGGUGAAAAAGGCAGCAUAAGAGAGAGAGAGCAGAGAGUUGACGUGAGAGAAAGUAAAAAAAAAAGAAAAGAAAAGCCCCCCACGCGACUGUUCAUCUUCCUCGCGAGGGGGGGUCUCCGCCGGCGCCAUUGCCGUCCGCUCCCUCCGGCGUCCGACCGUGCCGUCCCCGCUCGCCCGUGCCGGCAUCCGAGCCCCGACGUCCGUCAGCCGCACGCCGCUCCGCCUGCAACCUCUCGCUGCUUCGUCUGCCGAACCCCCACGCCGGUACGCGACCCGCCUGUCGAUCGCGUCCGCAAUCCGCCGCUGCAGCACCUCCGAGCGGCUCUUGCAGCAGCUCGCUGCCACCGCUGCUGCGAUUUGAUGCCCAGCUGCGACCCGCUUCUGCUCCGCCUCGCCACAGCCGCUUCUACCACCCGACGCCGUUGCUGCCCCGCCUGACGCCGAGCGACGCCCCGCCCCCGCAAGUGGCGCCGCCGCCCUGUCAAUCUGUCGCCGGAGCUACAACCCGAAGCUCUCGCCGCCCCAACACUGCCUCCGCUCGCCGCCUGCAGAUCUGAGAUCCCCACAGCAGCCGAUCCAGAUCCGACGCCCUUCCUCCUCCAGAUCCAGAAUCGCGCCGCCGCCGAGCCAACCUUCCCCGUGCCGCUGUGUCGCCAUCCCGAAGCCGCUUCGCCGCCCCGACGCCGUCUUCACCCUGCUCCAGCCCGCGCUCGGGGUCCCUCGCCCGCGACGCCCGCACCCAGCCAGACCCGCGACGCCGCCGCGCCAAUUCCCGAAGCUCCUGUUGCCGCGCCGCCGUCGUGCCGCUCCCGGUGCCCUUGCCGGAACCCUAGCCGGCGAUCUCCCCUCGCCGGACCGGCCACCAGAUUUAUUUUUUCUUUUUUCUUUUUCAAAAAAAAGGAAAGAAAAAAGAGAAAAGCAAAAGAAAAUUUAGGUAUUUUCUUUAUCUUAUUUUUGUUUUAUUUUUGCUAUUUUAUUUUAUCUUUUUAGUGUAAUUAUUCCUUUAAUGUGAAAUUGAAAUUCCAUGGUAUGAAAUUGCCUUGAAAUUAGUGCUUGUCAGUCCGAUUUUCGAGCUUGAAAUCCGACUCACAAUUACUUAAAAAAAUUGCCAAUCCGAUCUCCCGCUCGAGAUUCGAUUCGUGAUUUAUGUGAAAUUGGCCAACCGAAUCUCAUGCUCGAGAUAUGGUUCGUCGAUUUGAGUAUCAAUAUGGCUUGAUUUGCUGUGGCGUUACUUAAAUUAGCUUUCUUUAAAAAAAAUAUCAAAAAAAUGUAGUUUUAGGGUUUGUAUAUUCAUAAUAGGUAUUUUAUUUCGAAUUUUCCAAAAAUAAAAAAAAAUCAAAUCAAUUAAUUUAGGUCGCUAGUUCUUUUUUUUGGAUUGCAUGUUUAAUCAUUUGGCAAUUAUUAAUUUGGAAAUUUAAGAAAAUGAGAAAAAGGGAAAAACACAAAAAAAAAAAGAGGUCAUUAUGCAUAUGUCAUGUAAAAUUAGGGCAUCUUUUGCACGUCAUGGCAUAUUAGAAUAAAUUGCAUGUUUCAUUUUAAGUUUAGAUUGAUUUUUGCAUCUUAGGUUAGAGCUUGCUAGGUUAAGACAAUAUCUUAGUUUAAAUUAGGAUUUAUUCUAACCCGAUCCUUAAUAUAAGUUAGAUAGAAUUUUAAUCUAGAUAGUCAUGUUUUGCAUUUCAUAAAAAGUUAAAAUUUGUCUUAGGAUAAAUUAGUUGCAAUUUCUAGGAUAUAUUGCAUUUUUAGAAUAAAAAAUCAUGUGCACGUCAUAUAGAAUUAGGUCCAUAAAAUGCACGUCAUCUAGUGAUCGUUGUUAGAUUCAUUUAAUUAGAAAUUGUCCGUCAUUAGAUUAUGUCAUUUAAUAAAUGUCUCGUGAGACAUAGCCCGCAUAUUAAAUUGCACGUUGCAUGUCAUUUUAGUUAAAAUAAUUUUGUACUUGCAUUGCAUCACACGUCAUUAGAAUUAAGUCAUUCUGGUUAAUUUAGAUUGCAUAUUUAAUCAUUGCAUGUUCAUUAAGAAAUCAUUAGUUUUUUACGCAUUCAUAUAGUUUAUGAUAUAUUGACAUGCCAUAUCAUUUCAUAUUAGAUUAGAAGCAUUGCAUUGCAUAUGGACUAUAUUCUCGUUGAAAAAGAGAAAACAAAAAUUGAGUAAUUGCUUGUUAAUUAGAAACUAUAUCUAGGAUUGUUGGUGUGGAUUUUAAUUUAACAUUGCAGAUGCUUUCGUUGCUUUGAGGUAAGUCCUGCAAUUUAUUUUCUGCUUUACUUGAGUGUUAAAUUGGUGGUUUGCGCGUCUGCAUGAACACCUCACAUGUUAGGGAAUUAGUUUAAAAUCAAUCAAAACUGCUUGCCAAACAUUUUUCAAAAAUAAAAGAAAAGGUACCGAAAUGGCGUUAGAAAAGUCUAGCGUAACCAGGUCCCCGAAUUCAUAAUCUCUGGUUCGUAGGAGUAAAGUAAAUCUCCCGUUACUUUACUUGGGUUUCUAAUCGACCCAUCAAAAGAUUAGUGACGACUCCUAAUUGAAAACUAAUUGCAUGUUAAAAAUUUGAACUUAAGUCGCGAAUUGGUAUGGGUUUGGGAGAGCUCGAGUUAAGUCUGGGCUUAACAAUCCAUUAGCCAAAUCUUAUGUGGUUCACACCCGAAAAAUUGGGUCGCGACAGGUGAACUCACUUNNNNNNNNNNNNNNNNNNNNNNNNNNNNNNNNNNNNNNNNNNNNNNNNNNNNNNNNNNNNNNNNNNNNNNNNNNNNNNNNNNNNNNNNNNNNNNNNNNNNAAUUCUAUGGCGAGAUACCUUCUUCAUUCUAUCAACUUCAAAAUCUCUAAAACCUCAUCCUUGCCAAAAACGACUUCAGCGGAACUGUUGAACUUGACAACUUUGUCAAGUUCGAACAAUUGGGAGUGCUCCAACUAUCUUUUAACAGGCUAUCAUGCCGCACAAGUAGCGUGAAUGUUAUUCUUCCUCAGCUUUCGGCCCUAGGAUUGGCAUCAUGCAAUUUGAGCGAGUUUCCAGCAUUCUUCCAAAACCACGGGGGUUUGAAUUGGUUGGACCUGUCGAAUAACAUCAUUAGUGAAGUGCCCUUCUGGUUGUGGGAUGGCACUUUUAAAGACAUGCAGUACUUGAAUCUCUCUCAUAACUUCUUAACUGGUUUCGAUCGGUAUUACACGAUCAAUCCUUUAAUUAUGUACACGAUAGACCUAUAUUAUAAUAUGUUGAAAGGACCACCCCUGAAGCACCACCGUCAAUAUUGUCCUAUAUAGUAUCUGACAACAGGCUGACAGGAGCAUUGCCACCAUGGAUCUGCAAUUUGAGUUCAGCAAUCACACUAGACUUGUCUUCUAAUAAUUUGACUGGUGUACUUCCGGUUUGUUUGGGCAAUAUCAGCGAAUCUCUCAUCAUAUUGAACCUAAAAGGCAACAAUUUCCAUGGGAGCAUUCCCGAGGUAUUGGUGAGGGGUACACAAUUGACGAUGAUUGAUUUGAGUGACAACCAAUUGCAAGGCAAGUUACCAAGGUCAUUGGCCAAUUGCAAAACGCUCGAAUUCAUCAACUUUACAAAUAAUUUUAUUGCGGACACCUUCCCGUCAUGGUUGGGAUCUCUACCGAAUCUUCAUGUCCUUAUUUUGCGAUCCAAUAGAUUCCACGGGAUCAUAGAGAGGCCUAAAUCUAGCUCCACAUUCCUUAAGUUGCAGAUACUUGACCUCUCUAUAAAUGAGUUCGUCGGUAAGUUGCCCAUGGAAUUCUUUCAAUCUUGGAAUGCCAUGAAAUCCAGACGGGAGACUUUACAUACAUGCAAAAGAACGUACGGCCAAGAUGCUUCCGUGAGUUCACCUACUAUGGCAAUUGGGAUUUCUCCAUGAUAGUAAUUUACAAAGGGCUUGAACGGUAUUACCCAAAGAUCUCAGAAGUCUUCACGAUCAUCGACCUCUCCAGCAAUUCGUUCAAAGGAGAUAUCCCUAGUGUAAUAGGUGAUCUCAAGGGACUGCAAGGACUGAACCUAUCCAACAAUUUGCUCACUGGUCACAUCCCACCAUCGUUGGGAAAUUUGACAGCACUCGAGUCAUUGGACCUUUCUAGGAACAAACUCUUAGGACAAAUCCCCCCGCAGCUGACAGAACUCAGGUUCCUUUCUUUCCUGAACAUGUCUUACAACAAUCUGACCGGGUCUGUGCCGAGAGGGCGUCAAUUCGACAAGUUUUCAAAUGAUUCUUUUGAAGGGAACUUGGGAUUAUGUGGGGAAUUCAUAUAUAGGAAAUGUCAAGAUUUAGGGGAUACGUCAAGGCAACCUUCAACCGACCAAGAAGAAGACUUGGGAUCGCCAAUUAAACUCAAUUGGAAAAUUGUUCUGCUGGGAAAUGGGAGUGGCUAAGUGAUUGGAGUGGUUAUCAGAAAUGCAUUCAUCUCUUGGAAACAUGUUUGGCUUAAAGGAAAUGCCAGGUUAAGGCGAUGGCCUAGCUAGAGGCAGCCUAGGAGGGUUGGGAUCUCAUGGUCAGGCAAGUUUUUAAAUUUCUGUAGAUAUUUAAUUUACCUGAAUAACGAGCUAGCUAUUUCCUUCUUUUUCUUAAGUGUACUUGUUUCUUCAUAGCAUCUUUACCGUAAUUUAUGUAAAACCUCUGCUUGCUUCUUUUAAUCUCUCAUGACAUCUGCUAAUAACCUCUCUAAGUUGAACUCACUUUUUUUUUUCUUGAUAAAUCUAAAAAGUAAUUCUAUCUAACAAUGAAAUCAAAAUUACCACAUGGAUUCUUCUUUAUCCAAGGUCACAUCACAGGCUAGAAUCCAUUUACAGAUUCUAGUAAAACCAUCAAUAGCAAGGGUACAGUGUUCUCAUAACUUUACGCAAACCUAGGCUCUCAUCGUCGCUUCAAUCAUUGACCUUUUAUUUUUCAGUCACCACACAAAAUGUACAGGCACCGAGGUAUCAAUAUUUGCAAAAAAAAAAAAAAAGAAGUCCGCAUGUGGAGGCUGAUUGGACAAGUACUGUAACAAAUUAUUCUCUUGGGUCUUCUUCCUGUGUGUGCGUUAGUAAAUAGAACUCUCUCUCAUAGAGCAGUAAAUUAUGCAGAGAACCGACAUGGCCCAGUUGAAAUUACUGGACAAGUAAUAUGUCUGCUUGCUAAUCAUGAACCCCGGAAUUUACACACUGAAUUCAUUUGAUUUUUCUGUACAACCUUUUCUUUUUCCCGUGAAAGGAUCGUUUGAUAGAGUGGCUUCUCUACAGCUAAUUUAAUCACUUGGAAUGGUUCUCAAGAUAGUGAUCAGUUGAUUAUGGCUCCAAGUUAAUGUCGAGUGAACUCUUGCCAAUAAGAUCAUGGAUGAUGCAAAAAAGGAAAUCUGAUUUCCUGUAGUCUUCCUUUCCUUAUUGAAGUUGAAGUAUACGUUGACGUCGGAAAAGGGCUCAUAGUAUUUAUGCAUAAAAUUAUUCUGUUGUGAAGUGUCAUCUCUGGUGGAUAGUAGGUGCGCUGAAAUGUGCAGAACUUGCAAGAAACACACAUUGAGAGCGUUCUAACAAUAGAAUUGAAAGUAUGAGAAAACUCAUUCAUUGUGAUUGAUUCUUUUAAGUUCAGGCGUUAUCUAAGAUUUGGAAACGCUUGCUAAUGUUAUUACUUAUAUAGCAAUAAGUGAUUAUCAUGUAAUAAAACCUCCAUGUAUGACUUUAUUCUCAUUUCAGUAAUAUGUAUUUUCACAUACAACUUAAAUUCAGAAAAAAAGGUAUCUGAGAACAUAAUAGAAUUUAACCCGCCAUGGAUCUUUGAUCAUUCAUCUGAUGCGAAUCUGUAUAUACAUCAGUAAUAAUUUUUAAAAGUUUAUUGCCAAAUGCGUAAAUCGAUUGUUUUUUGCACAUCGAUUGGAUUACCAAAAUAUGCAUAAUAAUUAGAGACUUUCUAAUAUCAAAGAUUUUCUAAAGUCCGUAAAAACUAAAUUUCUAGGCAAAACUCACACGUGAGAAAUACCCAAUUUGAUUUUCAAGUAUUAUAGCCUGAAGAUUUCAUCUUUUUCCCUUCGGCAAAUGGGGACCUUGGUUGCUGUAUUUUAAUGCGUGUAGACGCCAAGAAGGAUGAAACAAAGGAUCUCAAGAAGGUUGGGGCAUACGUGGGUCCAUCUUCUCAGGAUUGUCCCUCGAGGCCGGGACUGGAACUCACGCCCCAGCCCGAGUCUCCGGCACCCGAACUUGGGACCUGAUUUGUACCGGAGACUUGUUCUCAAAUGCAUCCUUCAUAAUUGUUUCUUGACAAAUAUCAAAAAAUUACUUCUGUAUAAUACAGCCAAACAUGCUUUUAAAAUAACAUCCUUUUAAAAAGAAUCCUAGCAAAGUUUAUUUUUUGUUUUUAAAAAAAAGAUAGAGUCUAAAGUUCCGUUUGUUUCACAUAAAAUGUGACAUUCCAGAAAAUCAUUUUCCAGAAAAAUAAUAUUAUUUUUUAAAGUUUGACUGAAACUUGAAAAUGAACUAGAAAAUAUUUUCUUCCCCUCAAUAUGAAAUACCCAAUUUGAUUUUUUUGAAGAGACUUACCAAAAUAUUCAAAUUUUUAUUAUUUUUUCCUUUUUUUUUUUUUUUGCUUUCUUCCUCCGCCAAUCGCCAACCAACACAAUGAUUGACAACCUGCCAUAGGCUAGGGACAAGCCCCUCAAAGUUGAUGUAGAUCAAGCUCGCCAGAUUCUAGCACGCCAGGCCAAGCCAACCUUGGGCAAGACUCCACCUCACUAAAUUGGCGAGCUCGGGCCUUGCCGUCUUUGGGCAAGUUGAUCCCUCACCGUGGCUAGCCAAAGAAGGAGGAAAAAGAAAAAUAAUAAAUAAUAAAUAAUAAAUAAUUCAAAUUUUUAAUAAAAGAAAAGAAAAAGAAAGAUGAGUGAAAAUGAUUGGAUUAAAUGAAAGAAAGAGUAAAUAAGAGGAAAUCAUUUUCCUCACUUUUGAAUAUGUUUUUCCCAAUGAUGAAAAAUAUUUUUUUGAUUAAUUUAUUUUCUUUGAACCAAACAUCAGAAUAUCGAGAAAUUUUUUUUCCUAAAAGUUGUUUUAUAAUGAAACGAAUAGAGCCUAAGAUUUCACAAACCCCCUUGAUUGAAUUACGGAGUGAAUGUAAUGAAAUUCUUGGUCUCGGACUAUGUAGUUUAUAGUGAAAAUAGUGCUAAUAUCACAAACAAAAGUUCAAGACGAAGCCGACACAAGGCAAACUAGAGGGGCCAAAUGAGCAACUAAAGUCUAUAAUCUCACCCCUCCAUUCGUCCCAUCGCACAGAGUUGUUUACUGUUGUUACAACUUGUGAAAACAGAAAUGCAUCCUCUGUCUAUAAACGUAGGGAAAAACUUAGUGCGGUUUUUUGUUACUUACAAAUUAAACAUCCAUUUCGGUUGAAGGUAAAGAGACCCAAAUUCUGCUUUUUAGACUGCAUGAUCCAUUCAUACAUAUUUGUCGUACCUUGCCCAUCCAGAUCUUAGCGAUUUAUUGUUGACACCUGAAAUUUUGCAGAUAAGUUUCCAUCUUUGUAAAACCAAGAAAAAUAAUAAUAAACGAGAGAAUCUAAUUUGGACAUUUAUGUAAGGAUCUAAACCCAUAGUCUAAAUCGCUCACUUUGGCCCGGUCUACCAACUCAGCCUCUAGCCAAGCCCAUCAGGAAUUUGGCCGGCCCAUCAUCUUAGCCCAUGAAGCCCAAAUUUAAAGUCGGAUUAAGCAACUUCUGCACAGGCCCAGAUUUACAAUUUUAAGUUGGAGCCCAUAAAGCCCGGGAGAGUUUGGCCCAUAAAGCGCGCACGUGCAGGGACUGAGAAGAGCGAACGAAUUCUGGCAAGGGACACGUAACAAAGGACCACAUUACACCAGAUAGCACUUCACGGACUGACAAAAUUUCCUUCUCUCUACUUACAAUUCCAGAGAAUUCGUAGUCCAUUCUUGUUCUCCGGACAUCGCUCGCAGUUGCCGUGGUUGAUCGUCACUUCAAUCUAUCUCCACCGCGGAAGAGGUGGUUGAGAAUCACCUGUAUGAAAAUUGAUAGAAUAAUUGUAUAUUAAACCGCAUCUUCAUCUAAAAACUUGAGUUUUUAAAACAGCGGUUUUACAAAAUCUUGAAAUUAAUCGUGGUGUGUUCUUUCAAGUGUUCUUCUUCUUUUUUCUAAUGUUCGUAGGAUCCAGUUUAGAUACAUUUGAAUCCUUUCUGCUGUUCUACUUGAUUUCGCCGAGGAUAAUGUUCUGCCUACGGAAGUUGAACAGGAAUGAAAGUGAGAACGAUGGAGGCUUGAAGAAGUGAGAGUUUUGUGAUUCUGCGAUUGAGUAAUAGUUUAUGCCUGUUUGCAAAACAAAAGAAAAGAAGUGGAACGGUAGCAUUCAGACGAAGAAGAAGAACUCGUGCCUUGUGGUGUGACGGCGUUGGACUAAGAAAGAAACGAAAGGAAAUAAAAAAAAACAAUAAGUAAAAUUAAUAAAUUAAACAUAAUAAAUAAAAAAACGAAAAAUAAAAUGCGGAAUAGAAAUGAUUGGAAAGUGUGAGUCCUAGCUAGACAGUUGCAGCUUGGAAAUAGUUUUAAUCGAAUUUCAUUUUAUUCGAAUUCAUCUAGUUUAAGAGUAAUUAUAUUUGGAUUUCGAAAAAAUUUGAUUUUUUAGCUUUUAUUUUCUUUUAGAUGAAAUGGAUAAGCAGACAAGAAAAAACAUUAACAAAGAAAAGGAUAAAAAAAAAAUCUCAUUUGAUUCAUAUUAGAAUUACUUUUAUGGGUCAUUUUAUUGAUUUCCGUCUUUAAUAUCAUUAGUGUAAUUCUCUUUAGUUGAAAUUAGACAUUGACUUUGAUUUUGAAAAUUAUCUCACGGUGGUCAUGCCUGGCUCAAUAAUAAGGCAAUAAAUAUACUUUACUCCAUUCGUACCGGAUUAUUUUACUGCACUCUACUUUUUGUUGUCAAUUUUUAUACCGCAUUUGAGUAUCGUGAGGUAUUAGCUCAUGGGAAUCAUGUCUAGGGACUUAAUAACAAGACCAUUUUUUUUUCUAAGUCAUAUUGGAUUAAUGUCACAAAAAACCCCAAACUAGUAUAUCUAUAAUAAAUUUAUCUAAAACAAUUUUUUUUGAAAAAUAGCCUAGUUAAAUAAAUGCACGAGGCAGAUAAAUAGCUAAUAUUUUCGUUGUUGUUGGGAGCAAGAAGUAUGUUAAAGAAUGGCCCAACCUUUUGGCCAUGAUGUUUGUGGACUCGAUAAGUAAGAUUAAAGACCACGAAUUAGACUCCUCCGCUAACUUAUUUGUCCAUCAAUCAAGAAAAGCACCAUAAAUUCCUAAUGAGACCUUUCGUGGGGUGGGGUUUGUACGGGAUGAUAUUACACCAGGCCGAUUCCCACGACACCAGAGAAUGGACAAGACCUCAGGCGACGGAAAUGCCCGUCGCUAAAGUGUAAAAUCUCGUUCCCGUCUCUCGCUAGGGACGGAAAAGGGGCUGAAUGGAACCGCUCCAGAGCAUGAGCAAGUUUUUUUUGUCAUUUAAAUAGUAAUAAGAGCAUCUUUAUCUUAUAGUUACCGUAUCGAUUGAAGUAGUGCAAGAAUUCAUGAUCUAUUGUUCACUCUCAAAAUGUUUAAAUUGUGCCAAGAAUUCAUGUUUUAGAAUGAAUAAUGAGAAAUAUUUUGAAAAGGUUUGGAGAUAGAGAAAUGACCCAUUCACUUAUUUUGAUGUGAAUAUGUCUACACAAUGAGUGAAGAAUUUUUUUGUUGUUUGUGAGAUCUUGUCUUGAAUGGUCCCAGUAACAUGGGAUAUACAUGGUGCAACGUUGUACCGAGCAAAUUUUUCUCAAAGGUUAAUUUCUUCACUCGGAAAUAACGAAACGUGAGUAGAGUCAAGAAGAAGACAAAUUGCUUCACCUUUUAUGCUUAGUUAAGACAAAACUUUGUGUAAUUGCACGAUUAACUGGGGUACCGCAUACACAAUAGCAAACAGUUUGCUCUGUUUUUACUUAACUAGACAAUAUGAACAGAACGACCAAGCCCAGGGAAAAGUAGAUGCGUCAUUGAAUGAUUGAGUGCGGGUUAUGUUAGAUGAUGUUCGGCAAGUACUAAAAAUUUGCUCUACCGUGCAACGACAUAAUAUUCUUAUGAGUAGAAAUUAUCUUCAACUGGUCUCCUUGAGUACAUAAUUUAUCUCGAUGUGAAGUUAAGAUUGAUAGAACAAGAAGAAAUGCAUGACUGGCUAUUUUACUCCUAGAAUUGCGUUCAAAUGAUUCAAAAUGUCAAGUUUUGUUCCUUUGGUCACAGGAAUGCAAGCUUGGUUGUGCCUUUGUUGACAUGCCGCGAUUUCAUUAGUUUCCUAUAACAAGCGGACUUCUAUAAUAUUUGCAAAAUACAACCAAUCGUACUUUGAAAUUAAGAUCUUUUCAUAGAUAUCAAUAGUGCCCACAACAGUAUAUUUUUGUCUCUGGUUUCUAUCUGUUUUGUCAUAAACAAACCAAGCAGUAGAAAAAUAGUAGACAGCAAUGUUGGGCUAAUGCACAAUCCAAACAACUAUAAUUGUGUGGGAGUAACAAUCUGCACAAGACAAUGGCCAAUUCCACCUCUACCUCCCCUCAAUAAGGGAGACUGAUCAAAAUUCUAAACAAUCUUAAUUUCUCUUAAUGGAUUACACAAUAGAAAUCACAUUCAUCAUAAGUGACCAAAGAAAAUGUUCACCAAUUGUAAUUCUAAAUGAAAAUAGCACUAAUAUCACAAACAAAAAGGACCCACAUAAUGCAAUCAUCGAAAGGGGUCAGAUGGGCACCCAAAGUCUUCAAUUUCGACCCUAAAAUCACACCAUUUCAUAGACUUUUUUUGCCACUAUCCUUUCAUAGACUUUUUUGCUACCGUCCUAACGAGUAACCAAAGUCUUCAAUUUCGACCCUCAAAUCACACCAUUUCAUAGACUCUUUUGCGAUUAUCCUUUCAUAGACUCUUUUGUCAUUGUCCUAAUGAGUAAUCAAAGUCUUCAAUUUCAACCCUCAAAUUGCAGCAUUUCAUACUCUUUUGUCAAUAUCUUAAUGAGUAACCAAAAUCUUCCAUUUCGACCCUGAAAUCGUACCAUUUCAUAGACUUUUUUAUCACUGUCCUAACAAGCAACCAAAGUCUUCAAUUUUCACUCUCCAAUUGUACUGUUUCAUGGACUUUUUUUUUGCCGCUGUCGCAUCCUGUUGUUAUAUGACCCAUUGGUUUGCCAACUGCCAGGCAAAUAAAGAUCUAUGGGCUGAAUUUUCAGUCAAUGAUUUGUCAAUUCGGGCCCGAAGGUUUUUAUUAUGUUCCCUAGUAGCUACACAUUAGGCCGAUUCCCACCACCACCAGAAAAUGGAAAAGACCUCAGGCGACGGAAAUGCCCAUCGCUAAAGCCUAAAAUCUCGUUCCCGUCUCUCACUAGGGACGGAAAAGGGACUGAAUGGAACUGCUCCAGAGCAUGAGCAAGUUUUUUUGUCAUUUAAAUAGUAAUAAGAGCAUCUUUAUCUUAUAGUUACUGUAUCGAUCGAAAUAGUGCAAGAAUUCAUGAUCUAUUAUUCACUCUCAAAAUGUUUAAAUUGCUCCAAGAAUUCACGUAUUAGAAUAUAUGACGAGAAAUAUUUUGAAAAGUAUUUUGAAAAGGUUUGGACAUAAAGAAAAGACCCAUCCACUUAUUUUGAUGUGUAUAUGUCUAUACAACGAGUGAAAACAAAAAUUGUUGUUUGUGAGAUCUUGUCUUGAAUGGUCCCAGUAAUAUGGGAUAUGCAUGGUGCAAUGUUGUACCGAGCAAUUUUUUCUUAAAAAUUAAUUUCUUCACUCAGAAAUAACGUCGGUAAAGUCAAGAACAAGAUGAAUUGCUGCACCUUUUAUGCUUAGUUAAGACAGAACUUUGUGCAAUUGCACGAUAAAAUGGGGUACCGCAUAUGCAAUAGCAAACAGUUUGCUCUGUUUUUACUUAACUAGGCAAUAUGAACAGAACGACCAAGCCCAAGGAGAAGUAGAUGCGUUGUUGAACAAUUGAGUGCGGGUUAUGUUAGAUGAUGUGCGGCAAGUACUAAAAAUUGGCUCUGCCGUGUGACAACAUAAUAUUCUUAUGAGUAAAAAUUAUCUUCAACUAGUCUCCUUGAGCACAUAAUUUAUCUCGACAUGAAGUUAAGACUGAUGGAACAAGAAGAAAUGCAUGACUGGCUAUUUUACUACUAGAAUUGCGUUCAAAUGAUUCAAAACGUCAAGUUUUGUUCCUUUGGUCACAGCGAUGCUAGCUUGGUUGUGCCUUUGUCGACAUGCCGGGAUUUCAUUAGUUUCCUAUAACAAACGGAAUUCUGUAAUAUUUGCAAAAUACAACCAAUCGUACUUUGAAAUUAAGUUAUUUUCCUAGAUACCGAUGGUGCCGACAACUGUAUAUUUUUGUCUCUAAUUUCUAUCCAUUUUGGCAUAAACAAACCAAGCGGUAGGAAAAUAGGAGACAGCAAUGUUAGGCUAAUGCACAAUCCAAACAACUAUAAUUAUGUGGGAGUAAGAGUAACAAUCAGCACAAAACAAGGGCCAAUUCCACCUCUAUCUCUCUCUCUCAAUAAGGGAGACUGAUCAAAAUUCUAAACACUCUUAAUUUCUCUGAAUGCAUUACACAAAAGAAGUUAUAUUCGUCAUAAGUGACCAAAGAAAAUGUUCACCAAUCGUAAUUCUAAAUGAAAAUAGCACUAAUAUCACAAACAAAAAGGACCCACAUAGCGCAAUCAUUAGGUGAACGAAAGGGUUCAAAUGGGCUCCCAAAGUCUUCAAUUUCGACCCUAAAGUCUUCAAUUUCGACCCAAAAAUCACACCAUUUCAUAGACUUUUUUGCCACUGUCCUUUCAUAGACUUUUUUGCUACAGUCCUAGCAAGUAACCAAAAUCUUCAAUUUUGACUCUCAAUUCACACUAUUUCAUAGACUCUUUUCCCAUUGUCCUUUCAUAGACUCUUUUGCCAUUGCCCUAACGAGUAAUCAAAGUUUUCAAUUUCGACCCUCAAAUUGCACCAUUUCACACCAUUUCAUAGACUUUUUUGCCACUCUCCUUUCAUAGACUUUUUUGCUAGACUCCUAAUAAGUAAACCAAAAUCUUCAAUUUUGACCCUCAAUUCACACUAUUUCAUAGACUCUUUUCCCAUUGUCCUUUCAUAGAUUCUUUUGCCAUUGUCCUAACGAGUAACCAAAGUCUUCAAUUUCAACCCUUGCCAUUUCAUAGACUCUUUUACCAUUGUCCUAACAAGCAACCAAAGUCUUCAAUUUUGGCUCUCAAAUCGUAUCAUUUCAUAUGGACUUUUUUAGCCGGCUGUCACAUCCAUUUGUUAUAUGACCCGUUGGUCUGCCAACUGCCAGGCAAAUAAAGAUCUGUGGGCUGAAUUUUAUGUCAAUCAAUCAUCUGUCAAUUCGCCCUGUAGCUACACGUUAUGGCAUAGCACAAAGUCAUGCUGUCAUGCACCUAGAGAUUCAUCAGCAUUGCCCAAAUUUUGCAUUUUAUCACCAAAAUAUGCAUAAGAAUAGAAGAUUUGAUAGGAUUUGAUUAUAGAAAUAUAUGUAAAUAUAUUAUUUCUUGCAUAGCGGUUAGAGAAUUGUUAAUUAAAUAAGCAUAAAAAAUAGAUGUUAGGAUAAGAGCUUUUAUAAAGUGACCUAAAAUUAAAUUGUUACCCAAAACUCACAUGAGAGCGCCGUGUGGUACGUGGUUUUUGUGUAUCGUUCUUUUUAAUAUAUAUAUAUAUAUAUAGUUACAUAGAUGGAAAAAUUGUCCAAAAUCCUAAACCUAUUGUAUUUGUUAAUUUAAUCCUAAACUUUUCAAUUUAACUAAUUUAGUCAUAAAUCUUUUCAUAUUUUGCCAAUUGAGUCAUCCAGUCAAUUCUAAUCAAAAAUCGCUAACGUGGACAUUAGACGUUCCAGUGACUUGACCAGCACUGAAGCAAAUAAUUUUAAAUAAUAUUUUAAUAUUUUUUGAUUUUUUAUUUCUUUUCUUUUUAUUUUCUUCCCUUUUGCCUCUAGUUGAUCAUCAAGCUUGGACGAUCGGCUAGAAGAACCGGUGAGGUUGACCUCACCGACCUCAAGCGAGCCUCGCCCACAUAUGGCAAGGCUCGACUUGGCCAUUCACAUCCAUUUUCUCCUUUCGUUGACUAGUCAAGCUUUCUCAUUUUUUCUUUUGUUGUCAUCAUGUUUUACUUUUUAACCAAUCCAAUAAUCAAAUAUGCUCAAAUGUUAGAUAAUCUCCUUUAUUCUACAUAACAUAAAUCAUAUUCCUUCAUUGAUAAACGUGUUUUAAUAUGUGUCUGUUCUCUUCCUUGCUAUUAGCGUCGAUGAUUUUUACAUUAUGUUAUAUGGGGUUGUUAUUCAUGGAAUGUGAGAAAUGCCAAGUAAAAGUAUUUGUCCAUUCGGACACAAAGAUGUUGCCUUAAAGAUUAAGCUUAAAAUUUUGAUAAAAUAGAUGGGAAAUAGAAUUUUUUUUUUUUUUUUGAGAUUCGUAUGAUAGAAACUAAGUAACACUGUUCAAAAACACUAUGAACCGUCUUAAUUUCCCGAAGACAUUACACAACGUAAAUCAUAUUCCUCAUCAGUGACCCAAGGACGCACACAUUCAUAUCACAAGGCACCAAGCACCACCUAUAAAAUGUGCUUCACUCUCUCAUACUCGUUGUGUUUUUAUGUUUGUGAUAAUUACUUGUAGUAUUAUAAAAUGAGCCUCAUUGAUAGUGAUAAGUAAUUAUCGUAUAAUAAACCUUGAUGUAGGACUUUACUCUCACUUUAAUAAUAAGAUUUUUCAUGUAAUAUAACUUAAAUUGAGAAAAAGGGAUAUGAGAAUAAAAUAACAUUUAACCUGCCUUGGAUCUUUGAUAUAUACAUGGUCGACUAGUUUCAAAUGUUAAUUACCACAAUAAUAUGCGUGAAUCUUUUUUUUUUUUUUUUGCAUCUAUUAAAUCACCAAAAUAUGUAUAAGAAUUAGAGAUUUUCUAGCAUUAGAGAUUUUAAAGUCCAUAAAAAUUGAAUUUAUAGGCAAAAUUCACAUGUGAGAGUGCCUCGGUUGACCCAGUCUCCACGGAUGAACGUCAAUUAUUUGCGUCUACUUUCUCCUUUUGUUGACUAGUCAAACUUUCUCAUUUUUUCUUUUAUUGUUACCAUGUCUGACUUUUUAACCAAUCCAAUGGUCAAAUAUAACCAUUUCACGUACGCUUUUGCUGCUUUCUCCACGAUUGACCCAAGUCUUCCAUGCAGCUACACGUUAAGGCACUGCACAAGGUAAUGCGCACGCACCUGAAUAUUCGUAGGUACUGCACACGUGUUUCAUCACUUUAAAAGUCAUUGGUUCGAUGCAUCCUAGCAUAAGAUGAGCCGUGUUCAUCUGUUUCACUCUCUCGUACUCUGCUCAUCAAAACAAAGGAGUCUUUGUUUCGAACAAAAUGGCUUCCUCAUCGUGCUUCUACAUGUCCAUACACUUUCUUUUCUUGUAUUUGUCAUCUCAGCCGAUUGGCGCACACAAUCUCUCUCGUUCUGCGAAACCUCUAUGUCUCGAGGAUGAAAUGUCUGCACUGCUACAGUUUAAAGAGAGGUAUGAAAUCGCCAAUGUUCAGUUUAAAGAGAGGUAUGAAAUCGCCAAUGUUUCGGGUGGUCCUCUCGCUCGUCCCAAGACUCUAUCCUGGAAAAAUAGUCGGGAUUGUUGCUCUUGGGAUGGGAUCGAGUGCGAUGAGAACACAGGCCACGUAAUUGUUCUCGAUCUGGGAAGUAGUUUUCUCUAUGGUUUUAUCGACAACAACAGUACCCUCUUCCAGCUUGCUCAUCUUGAAAAGCUCAAUCUCAGCAACAAUCACUUCAACUACUCUCAAAUACCGUCCCGAGUUGGAUAUCUCUCGAGAGUGACUCAUCUCGAUCUCUCUGCUUCCGUUUUUUCUGGCCAAGUUCCAUCAGAAAUCUUCAAACUUACAAGGUUGGUGUACCUCAACCUGAGUUGCAAUUGGGAUCCACGUGAUGAAAGAAAUUUGUUGCAGAUGAAAGCGCCGGGCCUGAGAAGCCUAGCUCAAAAUCUGACCAGCCUGGAAGAACUUCUCCUUGGUUCCGUCAACAUGUCGUCCCAAGUGCCCAACACUCUGGCGAAUCUGUCUUCACUGAGAAGGCUGGACAUGCUUGAGUGCGACCUGCACGGUGUAUUUCCGUCUGCCAUUUUUCAUUUACCGAAGCUGCGAUAUCUAGAUGUGGGUUACAAUGAAGUCACGGGCCGCUUGUCUAAGUUCAACUCGAGUAGUCCUCUUGAAGAGCUGCGACUGGGAGACACGAGCUUUUCUGGGGAGAUACCCGCUUCAAUCGGAAUCCUUCCUUCCUUGAGCGAUCUCGAUGUAAGUUUUUGCCAAUUCUCAGGAUCCAUCCCGGCUUCACUUGCUAAUCUUAGCAACCUCAAAGACCUGGGUGUCUCAGGGAACCCAUUCACUGCCCAGUCCAAUUCCUCUAUUUCUUGGGUUUGGACGAAGAAGAAGCUCACAUAUUUAGCACUUCAAAAGAUCAAUUUAUAUGGCGAGAUUCCACCUUCAAUCGGAAACUUGUCUCAGCUUGAAUUUUUAUCGUUAGAUGGCAACCAAUUAAGCCGUGCCAUCCCAUCUCGGCUCAUGAACCUCACUCGACUGACUUCUUUAAGCCUCGGAAGCAAUCGACUGUCGGGUUCUAUACCGUCUUGGCUUAUGAACAUGACUCAACUGGUUCACCUUGACCUUUCAGUCAAUAAAUUCCACGGUGAGAUACCUUCAUCAAUCUCUCAACUUCAAAAUCUAGAGGAACUCUGCCUUCUCGAAAACAACUUCAGCGGUACUAUUGAGCUAGACAACUUUCACAAGUUCAAACAUUUGGAAGCGCUGCAAGUAUCAUCUAACAGGCUAUCAGGCUGCAUGAGUAGCGCAAAUCUUAUUAUUCCUCAGCUUACUACCCUAGGAUUGGCUUCGUGCAAUUUGAGUGAGUUUCCGGCAUUCUUACAAAACCAAGAGGAUAUUACGUGGUUGGACUUGUCCGAUAACAACAUUACUGGAGAAGUUCCCUUUUGGGUGUGGGACGGAAGAUUUAAAAGCAUGGAGCACCUGAAUCUCUCCCAUAACUUCUUAACUGGUCUUGAUCGAUAUUACCCGAUGCACGCUUUAGAUAUGUACACGAUAGACCUCUCUCAUAACAUGUUGAAAGGACCACCCCCUGAAGCACCGUCAUCGACAGUGACCUAUAUAGUAUCCAACAACAGCCUGACGGGAGCGUUGCCAGCAUGGAUAUGCAAUUUAAGUUCAGCAAUCACACUAGACUUGUCUUUUAACAAUUUGACUGGUGUGCUUCCCAUUUGUUUGGGCAAUAUCAGCAAAUCACUCGUGGUAUUGAACCUAAAAGGCAACAAUUUCCAAGGAAGCAUUCCAGAGCUCUCGAUGAGGGGGACACAAUUGACGAUGAUUGAUUUGAGUGACAACCAGUUGCGAGGCAAUUUACCGAGGUCCUUGGCCGAUUGCAAAAAGCUCGAGUUCAUUGACUUUGCAAACAAUCUUAUCAUGGACACCUUCCCAUCAUGGUUGGGAUCACUACCGGAGCUUCAUGUCCUUAUUUUGCGAUCCAAUAAAUUCCACGGUGUCAUAGAAAGGCCUAAAUCUAGUCAUGCAUUCCUUAAGGUACAGAUACUUGACCUGUCUUCUAAUAAAUUCAUCGGUAAGUUGCCUGUGGAAUUCUCUUGGUCUUGGAAUGCCAUGAAAUCCGAGAUGCAGGACUUUGCAUACAUGGGCAAUAAUCUAUAUCCGCCACAAUUCAAUGUGUACUCCUACUAUGGCUAUUAUGAGUUUUCCAUGACAGUAAUUUACAAAGGGCUUAAACAGUAUUACCCAAAGAUACUAGAAGUCUUCACGAUCAUUGACCUCUCCAGCAAUUUGUUCAAAGGAGAGAUCCCCAAUGCCAUAGGUGAUCUCAGAGGAUUGCGAGGGCUGAACCUUUCCAACAAUCUCCUCACUGGUCACAUCCCAUCGUCGUUAGGGAAUCUCACAGCACUUGAGUCAUUGGACCUUUCUCAAAACAAACUNNNNNNNNNNNNNNNNNNNNNNNNNNNNNNNNNNNNNNNNNNNNNNNNNNNNNNNNNNNNNNNNNNNNNNNNNNNNNNNNNNNNNNNNNNNNNNNNNNNNNNNNNNNNNNNNNNNNNNNNNNNNNNNNNNNNNNNNNNNNNNNNNNNNNNNNNNNNNNNNNNNNNNNNNNNNNNNNNNNNNNNNNNNNNNNNNNNNNNNNNNNNNNNNNNNNNNNNNNNNNNNNNNNNNNNNNNNNNNNNNNNNNNNNNNNNNNNNNNNNNNNNNNNNNNNNNNNNNNNNNNNNNGAUUGGAGUCGUCAUCGGAAAUGCAUUUAUUUCUGGGAAACAUGAUUGGUUUGAAGGAAACACCAAGAGAAGGCGACGACCUAGUCGGAGGCAGCCUAGGAGAGGUAGGAACUCUUGGUCAGGCAAGCUUUUCAAUUUAUGCAGAUAUUAGAACUUCCUUAAAAACUGAGUUGGGUAUAUCCUUUAUUUUCUUAAAUGUACUUGCUUCGUAUUAUCUUUAUAGUUAUUUAUGUCAAACUUCAUUUUCUUCAACUAAUCUCUCGUCACAUCUAUUUAUAAAGCCAUUGUCAACUUGUAAACCUAGCUCAUGUGCGUCUUUUCCUAUCAAUGUUCUGGCAAGAGUACUACAAUCGAACACUAUCCGAAUUGCCACAAGGAUUUUUUUUUCUGUCUGGGGUUCACAUCACUUGCUUAAACCUGUUUACAGGUUCUAGUAAAACAAUCAAGGGUACACUGUUCUCAUAGCUUUAUGCAAACUAGACUCUUAUCCACACCUCGAUCAUUUGCUUUAGUUGUUUGUCACCUCACAAAUUAUACAAACAACAGUUGUAUUGACAUUUGAAACAAAAUCCGCAUUUGGAGAUUGAUUGGACAAGAACCAUGACAAAUGAUUCUCGUGAAAAAUAUACAUAUCAGAUUUGCUUUUUGGAUAUUCUUUUAUGUUUGUGCGGUAAAAAAUCGAAUUCUCUCUCAUAAAGCAGCAUAUCAUGUUGAGAACCAACAUGGCGCAGGAGAAUUUCCUAAAGUUCUUACCAUGCUUGCUAAUCAUGUACUUGGUAAAUGUCAUUUGAUUUAUCUAUUUAAACUUUUAUUUUUUUCUCAAAGAAUGAUCAUUUGAUAUGUUGAACUAUUGUUGACACCUGAAUUUUUGCCGAAAAGUCAAGUUUCAGUCUUUGUAAAACCAAGAAAAAUAAUAAUAAAUCAACAAACGAGAGAGUCCAAUUCGGCCGUUUAUGCGAGGACCUAAACCCAUUUGCCUGAGCCCAUCUAUUAAGUCUAAGUCGCUCACUUCAGCCCGGUCCACUAACCCAGACCACUAGCCAAGCCCAUCAGGAAUUUGGCUACCCACCAGCCUAGCCCAUGAAGCCCAAAUUUAAAGUCGCAUUAAGAACCUUCUGCACAGGCCCUGAUUUGCAAGUUUAAGUCGGAGCCCACAAAGCCUGUGAGAGUUUGGCCCAUAAAGCGCGCGCGUACAGGAACUGAGAAGAGCGAAGGAAUUCUGGCAAGGGGACGUUGGCAAAAGAACCCGCUCUCCCUCCAGCUUCCUCUCUCAUCCAACUGACUUUGGUGAUUCCUUCUCUCUAGAAUCCAAUUCCAGAGAAUUCGUACUCGAUUCUUCUUCUCUGGACAUCGCUCGCAGUUGCCGCCUUCGAUGGUCGCUUCAAUCCAUCUCCACUGCCAUGAGAAAAAGGCUCUGUUCGCCUUGUUCUCAGUCAUUGUCGCUCAAGAGCUUGAGCCGCGGUUCGCCAUUAACUCUUUCGCUGAUUCCCCCCUACAAAUUUUGCUUCUGUGACUGUUUUGCUCUGGUUCAAUCAAUAAUUAUUGCAGGUAAACAUCCUUACUUAACGAACCAUAUCUGCUCUGUUUAUGCUUAAAAACAGAGGCCGCGAAUCCUGCAUACUGCUUGUGUACAGAUCUUAUGUAGCCGAGCUUCCGCUAGCGAUUUGAACUCAUCGUGUUUUGUUGAUGAUAUGGAGACAAAUUCUUGGCAUGUUCCUGCGUUUAGAUCAUUAGAUUAAAUUGUCUACCAUGUGUUCGACAAUUUUUUAGUGAAACCUGCGUGUGAAAUUGAUUAAAAUCCUUGCGUAUUGAUGUUUGGUUGAUUCUUACGUGUUCAGACUGAGACGUCUGUGUUUGAUCCUCUCAUUGCACCAUUGAAUUGACCUGCUGUGAUGCUCCGCCAGAGACGUUGCCUGCUGUGUCUCUGCUUAUUUUUAACCUCUGUUUCAGUCCAUUUCAUUAGUCUUGUUGUCAAACCUAAACAUAUGCCGAUUGAACUUUAGAGGUGGUUAGGAAUCACCUAUAUGAAAAUUGAUAGAAUAAUUAAAUAUUAAACAUCGCCUUUGUCUAAAAGUUUAACGUUUAGAACAAUGGUUUCAGAAAAUUUCAAAAAAAUAAAAUUGAUUGGCUAGGAAGUUGAACGGGAAUGAAAGAGGGAAUGAUGGAGGCUUGAAGAAGUGGAGAGUUUUGUGAUUCUGCAAUUGAGUAAUAGUUUCUGAAUGUUUGCAAAACAAAAGAAAAGAAGUGGAACGGUAGCAGAUUCAUGACGAAGAAGAAAAACUCGUGCUAUGCGGCGUGACGGCGUUGAACUAACCAAGAAACGAAAGGAAAUAAAAAUAGUAUAUUAAACUUAAUAAAUAAAAACGAAAAAUAAACUGCGGAAUGAAAACGAUUGGAAAUUGUGAUUCCUGGCUAGACGGUUGCAUCUUAGAAAUAGUUUUGGCUGAAUUUCAUUUGAUUUGAAUUCAUCUAGUUUAAGAGUCAUUGUCUUCAGAUUUCAAAACAAUUUGAAUUUUUAGCUUGUAUUUUCUUUUAGAUGAACAGACAAAAAAACAAUAACAAAGAAAAGGAUAAAAAGAAAAAUCUCAUUUAGCGGUCAUUUUGUUGAUUUCUGUGUUUAAUAUUGUCAAUGUAAUUCUCUUUAGUUGAAAUUAGACUUUGACUCUGAUUUUGAAAAUUAGCUCACUGUGGAUCAAUAAUAAGAUAAUAUAUAUUCUUUACCCGACUCAUAUCAAGUUAUUUUACUGCACUUCACCUUUUUUUGUCAAUUCUUUUACCGCAUUUGAGUAAAGUGAGGUAUUAGCUCAUGGCGAUCACGUUUAGGGACUUAAUAACAAGGCCAUGUAAUUUUUUUGUCAAACUAAUAUUAGAUUGGGUUGAUACCACAAAUAACCCAGAUUCGGUACAUUUAUAAUAAAUUUAUUCGAAAUUAAUUUUUUUAAAAACACCUUAGCCAAAUAAAUGCGCUAGGCAAAUAAACGGCCAAUAUUUUCGUGUUUGAAGCUAGAAGUAUCUUAAAGAAUGGCCCACCUUUCGGCAAUGAUUUUUAUGGACUCGAUGAGUAAGAUUAAAGACGACGAAUUAAACUACUCCGCUAACUUAUUUGUCCAUCAAUUUAGAAAAGCACCAUAAAUCCCUAAUGAGACCUGGGGGAAAAAUGACAUUCCAUCUGGCUGAUUCCCACCACCACCGGAAAAUGAAAAAGACCUCAGGCGACAGAAAUGCCCGUCGCUAAAUUGUAAAAUCUCGUUCUCGUCUCUCGCUAGGGAGGGGAAAGGGACUAAAUGGAACCGCUCCGGAGCAUGAGCAUGCUUUUUUGUCAUAUAUAUAGUGAUAAGAGCAUAUUUAUCUUAUAGUUACCAUAUCCAUCGAAAUAGUGCAAAGAUUCAUGAUCUAUUAUUCACUCUCAAAACAUUUAAAUUACGCCAAGAAUUCACGUUUUAGAAUGAACAAUGAGAAAAUUUUUGAAAAGGUUUGGACAUAGAGAAAUGACCCAUCCAGUCGUUUCGAUGUGCAUAUUUCUACACAAUGAGUGAAGAAUUUUUUUGUUGUUUGUGAGAUCUUGUCUUGAAUGGUCCCAGUAACACAGGAUAUGCAUGGUGCAACAUUGUAUCAUGCAAUGUUUUCUUAAAAGUUAAUUUCUUCAAUUGAAAAUAACGGAACGUUGUAAAGUCAAAAAGAAGUCGAAUUGCUUCACCUUUUAUGCUUUCUUAAGACAGAACUUUGUGUAAUCGUAUGAUAAAAUGGGGUACCGAAUACACAAUAGCAAACAGUUUGCUCUAUUUUUACUUAACUAGGCAAUACGAACAGAACGACCAAGCCUAAGGAAAAGUAGAUGCGUCAUUGAAUUGCCUAUGGAUGACUGAGUGCCGGUUAUGAUAGAUGAUGUGCGGCAAGUACUAAAAAUUUGCUCUGGCGUGCAACGAUAUAAUAUUCUUAUGAGUAAAAAUUAUCUUCAACGGGUCUCCUUGAGCACAUAAUUUAUCUCGACACAAAGUUGAGACCGAUAGAACAAGAAGAAAUGCAUGACUGGCUAUUUAUUCCUUAAAUUGCGUUCAAAUGAUUCAAAACAUCUCAAGUUUUGUUCCUUUGGUCACAGCAAUGAAGGCUUGGUUGUGCCUUUGUCGACAUGCUGGGACUUCAUUACUUUCCUGUAACAAACGGACUUCCGUAAUAUUGCAAAAUACAACCAAUUGUACUUUGAAAUUAAGUUAUUUUCCUAGAUAUCGAUGGUGCCAACGACAGUAUACUUUCGUCUGUGGUUUCUAUCCGUUUCAGCAUAAACAAACCCAGCAUUAGGAAAAUAGUAGGCAGCAAUGUUAGGCUAAUGCACAAUCCAGACGGCUGUGAUUGUCUGGGAGCAACAAUCUGCACAAGACAAUGGUCAAUUCCAUCUCUAUCUCCCUCUCGAUAAGGGAGACUUUUCAAAAUUCUAAACAAUCUUAAUUUCUCUGAAUGCAUUAGACAACAGAAAUUACAUUUGUUAUAAGUGACCAAAGAAAAUGUACACUGAUCGUAAUUCUAAGGGAAAACAGCAUUAAUAUGACAAACAAAAAGGUCCCACACAACACAACCGUCGAGUGAACGAAUGGGGCCAAAUGGGCAACCAAAGUCUUCAAUUUCGACCCUCAAAUCGUACCAUUUGCCACUGUCCUAUCAAGCAACCAAAGUCGUUAAUUUCGAUCCUCAAAUCGUACCAUAUGCCAUUGUCCGCUGUCCACUUUCCUAAUGAGCAACCAAAAUCUUCAAUUUCAACCCUCAAAUUGUACAAUUUGCCACUAUCCACUGUCCUUACGAGCAACGAAAGUCUUCAAUUUCGACCCUCAAAUCGUAUCAUUUGCCACUGUCCACUAUCCUAAGUGCAACCAAAGUCUUCAAUUUUGACUCUCAAAUCAUACCAUUUACCACUAUCCAUUGUCCUAACGAACAACCAAAGUCUUCAAUUUUGACUCUCAAAUCGUACCAUUUCAUAGACUUUUUUGUCAUUGCCUUAAAGAACAACCAAAGUCUUCAAUUUUGACCCUCAAAUCGUUCCAUUUCAUGACUUUUUUUACCAUUUCUUAAAAGUUAAUUUCUAUGUUAUAUAUAUGUAAGGCCAUUAUUAACUUGUAAAACAAGCUUUUGUGCACCUUUUCUCUUUAUAUCAAUGCCCAAGCAAAAGUACUCCUACUGAACACUUGAUUCUACCACAGAGAUUCAUCUUCACCCAGGGUUCACACCACGAGCUGAUACCCGAUAACAAAUUCCAGUUAAACGAUCAAUAACAAGAUUACGGUGCUCUCAUGACUUAACGCAAUUUAGUAGGCUCUAACCCGACCUUUGAGGUGACAUUUAAGACACAAUUCGCAUACCGGAACUGUACCAAACGAUUCCCAUGGAAAAACAUUUUGCCGGCAUAAUCUCCGCCUCUCCUCCUUGUUUAUGGGGGUGAUUUCCCAUCUCUAUCGUCAUCUGCCGCUCCGCAUAGCUUCGAGCUCCAAGCCUGCGACGCCAUGAUCACUUGGGAUCGAGAGUCGUUUGAGGAAGUCGACGAGAAGCUCUCGGUUGAGCACAAUUCCCUCCCCACCGCUCGCGUUAACAUAGCAGAAGCAGAGUCCGCAAGAACCCAACAAAACCCUCGCAACCACAAUCACAAGAGCAGCCAUGCCUGAUUUCUCCUACCUUUCCGACACCGACGAUUACCCGGUGAGUUGACUUCGCAGUGGAAGACCUCAUUUCCCAGACCAAGGACCUCGUCGUCCUCGAGCCAAAUCGCUGCCAUCAACUGCU